rnacentral:rRNA from 1 species
CAGACGUUCCCUGCCGUUUAGGACGACAAAGUGUGUUUUUGUCUUGUGGCUCAAAGACAGAACCAAGCCAUGUCGGGCCGACACCGUGCGUGCCUGCCGCCUAGGCUAGUGGUAGCUCCAAGUCUAAACUCCCUCCCCUUCCUACCCCCGCACCUACAGGGCCCACACCAAAGAGUACAAGGGCCGGUUCCUCAUGUUCUAGCACCAGCACCCCGAGCUGUUGCGGCCUUUCUGGUGGUGCGAGAUGUUCGAGGUGGAUCCGCUCCGCCAGUGGCGGCGCGGGUGGUAGCCGUCGUUGCAGCUCCUCCAGCACAAGUUCUUAUAUGCGAAGCUCCACACCCUAGAACCUCCUGUUCUCUCGGAUGCGCGAAGUACCCGCUGUAUGAUAUCUCCUUGAGUACGACAGUAGCACCAUUAGCUGUCGUGGCUGGCACGAGCCUAGUUGUAGUAGUUCCUACUCGAGAAGGCCAACUAAGUCGUACGUCUAGAACUGUUGUGCCACCAGGAACACAAACGCUUGUUCGUCCUAGAGUUCCUACGGUACAGCCGCCGACUCUAGUGUCUGCGGGACAGGGAGGUGUCGUAUUUCUUGGUGCUGACCGUGUAUGUCCGGAGCACACGCUAGUGACCACUCCCGGAGAUACUACCCUACCCUACCUAUCGCGUCUUUCAACGGCCUUUCCGGUGCCGUUCGACUGGUGUUUUUGUAACACACAAAACCACUUAAACAACCUUUACCCACCCUCCUACCCAAACAACAAGGACGGUAAACCCACAAAUAAAUACAACAAUGUAUGAGGGAGACAAGGAAGUACAUUCCACAUAAUAAAAGCCGUGACACUGGUUCCGUGUUUUAAUAUCUGUACACUACUG